rnacentral:rRNA from 1 species
CGUAGGGUGCGAGCGUUAAUCGGAAUUACUGGGCGUAAAGCGUGCGCAGGCGGUUUUGUAAGACAGGCGUGAAAUCCCCCGGGCUCAACCUGGGAACUGCGCUUGUGACUGCAAGGCUAGAGUACGGCAGAGGGGGGUGGAAUUCCACGUGUAGCGGUGAAAUGCGUAGAGAUGUGGAGGAACACCAAUGGCGAAGGCAGCCCCCUGGGUCGAUACUGACGCUCAUGCACGAAAGCGUGGGUAGCAAACAGGAUUAGAUACCCUGGUAGUCCACGCCCUAAACGAUGUCAACUAGGUGUUGGGUGGGUAAAACCAUUUAGUACCGGAGCUAACGCGUGAAGUUGACCGCCUGGGGAGUACGGCCGCAAGGUUAA